rnacentral:rRNA from 1 species
GAUGAACGCUAGCGGCAGGCUUAACACAUGCAAGUCGAGGGGUAGAAGGAGCUUGCUCCUUUGAGACCGGCGCACGGGUGCGUAACGCGUAUGCAAUCUACCUUUUGCAGAGGGAUAGCCCAGAGAAAUUUGGAUUAAUACCUCAUAGUAUGUGAGGAUGGCAUCAUUUUCACAUUAAAGUCACAACGGCAAAAGAUGAGCAUGCGUCCCAUUAGCUAGUUGGUAAGGUAACGGCUUACCAAGGCUACGAUGGGUAGGGUCCUGAGAGGGAGAUCCCCCACACUGGUACUGAGACACGGACCAGACUCCUACGGGAGCAGCAGUGAGGAAUAUUGGACAAUGGGCGCAAGCCUGAU